rnacentral:rRNA from 1 species
GAUGAACGCUAGCUCCAGGCUUAACACAUGCAAGUCGAGGGGCAGCAUGGUCUUAGCUUGCUAAGGCCGAUGGCGACCGGCGCACGGGUGAGUAACACGUAUCCAACCUGCCGUCUACUCUUGGACAGCCUUCUGAAAGGAAGAUUAAUACAAGAUGGCAUCAUGAGUCCGCAUGUUCACAUGAUUAACGGUAUUCCGGUAGACGAUGGGGAUGCGUUCCAUUAGAUAGUAGGCGGGGUAACGGCCCACCUAGUCUUCGAUGGAUAGGGGUUCUGAGAGGAAGGUCCCCCACAUUGGAACCGGGAAACGGUCCAAACUCCUACGGGAGGCAGCAGUGAGGAAGAUUGGUCAAUGGGCGAGAGCCUGAACCAGCCAAGUAGCGUGAAGGAUGACUGCGCUAUGGGUUGUAAACUUCUUUUAUAAAGGAAUAAAGUCGGGUAUGGAUACCUGUUUGAAUGUACUUGAUGAAUAAGGAUCGGCUAACUACGUG